UUUUUGGGUAGUAGAAGUGACAGGAUUGGGGAACUGACUGAAUAGAGGAGCUAAGGGAGAGCCAGCAUUCAAAAGUGAUCCGCCACGGAGCACUGAGGAAGAACAGUCAAGAGUGACUCUCGGACCGAUCAAAGCCCACAUGCCACUGCAUCCCGCACUCAGCGCUUACAUCCUUCCACAUCACCACCACACCCAAGAGAAAGCCUGAAGGGGAUGCUAAAGGAGAUAGAGCCAAGGUGAAGAACAACCCAGAGAAGAUCCGCAAGGUUGUAUGCUAAACCUGCUCCUCCAAAGCCAGAGCCCAACCCUAAAAAGGAUGCAGUCCCCUGCAAAGGAGAGAGAGGAGGUACCCAAAGGGAAAAAGGAAAAUGCUGACACUGGCAGGGAGGGGAAUAACCUUGCAGGAAAUGGAGAUGCCAAAACAGACCAGGCACAGAAAGCUGAAGGUGCUAGAGAUGCCAAGUGA
rnacentral:lncRNA from 10 species